AUAUCCUACUACAUUUCUGACUUACCAGGUUCACUGUGGGCUUCCCAUCACCAGUAUUCACCCUCCCUUGGCCUCUGGGUAAGUUUUAUUGAUAGUCAGUUCUGAGCUUUGCUCCCCACAAUGUUGCUGAGCUGCUCU
rnacentral:lncRNA from 1 species